AGAUCAGCUUCCUGUCAGCCCACAUGCUUGGGGCCACAGGCAACAGGCAAUGCAUCUCAGAAAUAUUAGGGCUUCCACUACUGCUAUAGACGGAUGCAAAAUGAUCCAAUAACACAAGGGCCUAAACACCUUGAGAGAAAGCUCACACCUUCUACCUUUCAUAGACCAGCUGAUCCUAUGGGAAUGACUAUUCACCAAUGGCCUGGUUGAACACAGAAGCACACAAAGCUCCAGUGUUACAGGAUCAUGCUGCCACCACUGGCCUUUCUCCACUUGGUCCUGGGGAUCCAAAUAGAGGUCCUCAUGCUUGAAGAGCAGUGACUUGGCCCAGUGAGCUACCUCCCCAGCCCUGUUCUAGGUGCUCUUGAACAAAGACUCCUUUGUCCAUGGGCCAAAACCAAACCCACAUACCGAAGCACCUUAAUGUUCCCUGAAGAAGGCAUCCCUAUACAAUCCUGUCUUCUGCAAGAAACACCAUGGUUUCAUGCUCUCAGAGACACUAGACAGUGCUUGACCUCUAGGCUGGGGAACCUGUUUCUACAAGAAAAUCAGGAGCAGAUACACAAAGAAAGCAUGCAGCUAUUUCCCGACAAGACUCAUUUACAGUCUGAGACCUAAGACGAUAGGGCAGAGCAUCCCUUCAUCUUGGCUGGGACCACCAUUUGCACUUAGCUACUGCUUCUCUUUGCACUUGGCUAUAGACAACUCCAAAGGUGUCAUAGCAUUGACUCUGUGUUUGCAAAUGAAUUUUAGCUACUGGCGAAACUAUGCAUAUGGGAUCUAAGAGUCAUGAGAAUAGACUGUGGAGUGUGCCACUGUG
rnacentral:lncRNA from 1 species